AUAAAUAUUAACGUCCUUACAAAUCGAUUCCUAAUAAAUCUCCUUGCUUUUCGACUUUAAUCCUUAUCCAUUUGUUAUUCUGUUCGCGCUGUGAGCUUGCUGAUAGAACCUGUAAGCUUGCUGACAGUUGAACAUAACACUGAAACUUAUCAAGCUGUUAGCACAUGCAUAUAUCAUUGAUAGCUCGCUAACAAGCACCAGUUUUAUGCUAUUAGCUUGCUGGCAG
rnacentral:lncRNA from 1 species